rnacentral:lncRNA from 1 species
CCUUUGUGGUUUUCUACCCAGUAAAAACGUAGUUGUAAUCCCUAAUUUUAUUCCCCAGAGAGUUAAUCCUUGAUAUGUUCAUCCUAACCGAUGAUAAAUUUUCUUCUCUUUGUGAUCUUCUGCCCAGUAACCGGUAGUUGAAAAUCCUGCUUUCCCCUGCUGAGCCUAUCCUUGAUAUGUUCACUUUAACCGGUGACAAAUAUUCUCUC